GCCACCAAAACCCAAAUCAUGUUUGACGAGUUAGUCGGUAGUGCGCCCAGCCUGAUCCAAACUGCAUCUGACAAACAAUUAAUUACCAUAGACCUAACUUGUGAUAAUACUUUAAACAAUACUCCUGUAUGUGGUAAGAUUGUCAGAUGCAGUAAAAAUAAAUUUAAAAAGUAUGUAAAAAUUAGUAAUUAUAUUAAAAAAACAAAUAAGUUGAUUAAAAAACAAAAAUGCUUAUAUAACAAAGUAAACUAUAUAAAUGAGAGACAGCGUCUAAAGAAUGAGCUUGACAUAUGUUCCACAAUGUUAGAGAAUAGUGUACUGAAAUAUGAACAUGAUGUCGAAAACCUAGAAUAUAAAUUAUGUAAUCUUAAGAAAUCUUUGAACACAAUGUCUGAACGGUAUCAAUGUACAAAAAAAGAGUGUGAUGAACAUUUCCAGGCUUUGAAAAAAUUUAUAUCUAAUUGCAACUGUCAAAAUUCUAUCCUAUUGGAUGAAUCUUGUACAGAUAGUUUUCAGUCUGGUUGUGAGUCACCACCUACUCUAAACACCCUAAACAAAGACUACUGUCCUAGGAUAUCACACACAUUUACCAGCGGCUCCCCAACUAAAAAUAUUGAAAAAACCAACAUAGUAAUGUUCAGUGAUGAGUUAGGCAAAAAUAUGGGCCAACUUAUUAAUAGUUACUUGGGACAAAGUGUAAUCAACCAUUGUUUACCGGGUGCUUCCUAUUUACAAAUUAUGAGAAAAAUAACAAAUUAUUCGUUCUCAAUAAAUACCACAUUAGUAAUUUUAAUAGGAAAUAGGGGCAAUGUAGGCAAAAAAGACCUACUAAAUAUUUUUGAUAGCUUAUGUUUACUUAAUGUAGAUAAAAUAAUUUUGUUCACAUUCCCCUACAGUAGAAGCUUGCCACAGGAGGAAAAUAAUUUAAGAUAUAAAUUGAAUUUGACAUUGAAUACACUGACAUAUAAUCAAUGCAAAUUCCAUGUAAUUGACAUUAACAAUUAUUUAAAAAAUAAAUGUUUAUUGACAAUAGAUAAAUAUAAUUAUCUAAAUAAAUAUUGUAAAAGACGAAUAGCGAAUUCGCUAUCAUAUUUUAUUAAAUAUUUAGCCAUUAAUUUGGCUAGCCAAACUGCUUUUAUUGAGCAGAACAUGGAUGUUCGACCCUUGGAAUCUGUUCCAAAUCAUAAUUUAAAUUACAUCGUAAGACAAUAGAGGAUAACUCUGGCAUACAAAAUUCGGGUACAAAGAAAUUUAACGGUUUUAAUUUAGUGCAUCAAAAUGUACAAGGCUUCUCCGGCAAAGACUUGGAAAUUGAGUUAUUUAUCCAAGAAUUGAAUAUUCAUGUCUUAUGUUUAACGGAACAUUGGCUCAGGCAAUAUGAACUAAUGCUGAGCAUUAAUAAUUAUAAGCUUAUUAGUUCAUUCACUAGAGAGUUAGCUAUUCGUGGAGGGUCACUAAUAUUAAUCAAUGAUAAAUUAAAAUGUAAAGAGCGUAAAGAUAUUGUAUCUCUCUCUGUCGAGCGAACUAUUGAGCUGUCAUGUGCAGAACUGGACGACUAUGUUAUUGUAUGUGUAUAUAGACCCCCAUCUAGUAACUAUGAAUUAUUUGAAACCACAAUGGAAGAGGUACUUAGAAGAGUGUGUAAUAGUUCAAAGAAAGUAGUUGUAUGUGGAGACUUUAAUAUUAAUAUAAUAGAAGAUUCCUCUCUUUCAAUACGGUUUUUAAAUUUAUUCAAAUCUUUUAACUUGUUAAAUCUUUUCUCUGAACCAACUAGGGUGACUCCAACAUCAGCUACUUGCUUAGACAAUAUAUUCUGUAACUGCUUAGUGCUAGAGAAAUCAAUAAUAAAUUUUGUUAAUUCUGAUCAUUGCGGUCAAAUAGUGUCAUUUCAACACCAUUUUGUGCCAUCGAGCAAGGAAAUAGAAUAUAGACCAGUCACUGCAUCCCAGAAAGACAAAUUUAAAUCUCAAAUAUCUAAUAAGGUCCCACUUUUGCAUUAUUUUAACUGUAGUAUAAAUAUUUUAUAUGAGCAAUUAUUUGAAUUAAUUAAAAAUGAGUUCAAUAAAACUUUUCCUAAGAAAACAAUUAUUAUUAAAAAUAAUAAAACUAAAUUCAGUGACUGGGCUACAGUAGGUAUUUAUAUUAGUAGGAAAAAAAUGUUUGAAUUAUAUGGUAGAAAAGCCUAUAGUAGCGACCCGGACUUUAUAGAAUAUGUAAAAAAAUACUCAAAAGGGUUGCUCUUAUCAAACACAUUUUCGAAGCUUGGCAGGAGAAAAAGGAUGCUAUUGGUGUAUUUUGUGACUUAUCGAAGGCGUUUGACUGUGUUGAUCAUCAAACUCUGUUAUUUAAGCUAGAACAUUAUGGCGUAUCAGGCAAGGCCUUAAGCCUAUUACACUCUUACCUCUCAGACAGAUUACAAAAAGUAAAUAUUCACGGAACUAACUCUUCGGGCGCCCCCCUAAAAAUGGGAGUGCCCCAAGGCUCAAUACUGGGACCAUUGCUCUUUCUGAUUUAUAUAAAUGAUCUACCUUUUUUUUCAAAGGACCUUUGUGAGAUAGUAUUAUUUGCUGAUGACACUUCUUUAAUUUUUAAAACUGACAGGCGUCAGGAAAUAUUUGACGACGUGAAUAAUGCUCUUUCCAAAGUAUUAGACUGGUUUACAACUAAUAAUUUGCUAUUAAACGCAAAAAAAACUAAAUGUUUAAAAUUCACUGUGCCUAAUGUCAAACAAGUUAAUACUAAUAUUACAGUAAAUAAUGAACGCAUUGAACUGAUAAACUCUACUGUCUUUCUAGGUAUUACCCUAGACUGUAAAUUACAAUGGGGCCCCCAUAUUGCUGCCUUGGCGGGAAGACUUAGUUCAGCUGCCUUUGCGGUGAGAAAGAUCAGAAACUUGACUGAUGUUGAAACAGCAAGGCUUGUAUAUUUUAGUUAUUUUCAUAGUAUUAUGUCUUAUGGUCUUUUACUGUGGGGCUCAGCAGCAGACAUAGAAUCAAUUUUCAUUUUACAGAAAAGAGCUGUUCGGGCAAUAUACGGUCUUAAACCACGUGACUCGCUUAGAGAAGUUUUUAAAGAAAUCAAUAUAUUGACUGUGGCUUCGCAAUACAUAUUUGAUAACAUUAUGUAUGUCCGUAAACAUAUACAUUUAUUUACUAAGAAAAGUGACGUCCACUCAUUUAACACGAGACAUAAGAAUAAACUUGCUGUUCCAUCAUUUAGGUUGCAUAAGAUAGGUAAUUCAUUCUUGGGGAAAUGUAUUAACAUAUUUAACAAAAUACCACACAACCUUGUCAAAUUGCCAAUAAACAAAUUUAAGAUAAAUAUAAAAAAUACCCUUAUGUCCAAAGGGUACUACAAGGUUCGAGACUAUAUUGAUGACAAGGAUGCGUGGUCAGUUCAGUCUGCACAUAUUUGAUGUACUUAAAUUUGACUAUUCUUACCGUUAGAUAAUUCCUGGCAAUAAGUGGUGACUGAGUUUGUUCCGGCGUUUCUUCUCAGCACUUGCCAUAUGUUUGUCUCGAAGCGCUGGUAGGGCCCAAAAGAUAAGGAGACAUGUAAAGUGCCCCAUAAGGGCUACCUUUUCUUUUUUUAUUAUUUUCUAUUGACGUUCAUAAGUGCCACUUGUGGUCUAAACUGAAUAAAUAUUUUUUGAUUUUGA